rnacentral:lncRNA from 1 species
CGACUGCCCGCCCCCCGGGGCCCGGGCGCACCUCCCCAGGUAGGAGCAGCUGUGGCGGCGCGGUAGGAGCCCCACAGCGUCAGGGCGGGGAGGGCGCUUGGAGAUCCCCCGGGUCGGCCCCCUCCGCACCCCGAUCGACUGAGGCCCGGAGAGUUCAGGAACCGGCUCGGGAGACCUCAGCGCCCGAACUCGGAGUUUUCGGACUUUUCAGGCCUCUGCCAAGGGCUUGGACUCGCAGGUGAAAGGACGGGCUCAUCUCACUUUUUUGUCCUGAGAGGAUGGUGGAAAGCUGCACUUGAAGUCCAACUCUGUCCUGGGGGAAUAAUUAUGUUCCCUGUCUUGGGAGCCUUUCUUCAGGGAGCUUGAUGGUUCCAACCCACCCAGGAGCCUGGGACAUCUGUGCCCCUGGGCAAUCCCCUGCAGCAGCUCCAAGGACCAUGGCCCCAGGAACUAGGCACAAGUGACAGGAGACACUUGCUAUGUCUAAACCCAGUGCACCCUCAGCCCGGCCUCGCCUUUUCAAGGACGGCUAGCACAGGCCAUCAUCCUGGCCCACGAUGAAGGUGAGCAUCAAACUCCAAUUUCUGAAGAGGAAACUGAAGACCAGAGAGGGGAGGUAAACAUCCCAAAGUCACCAGCAAGUCAGUGGGAGACACAACUUUAACCCUAGUUUUGACUGGCAGUCUGUGGGCAUCGAGGCCACCAUUCCAUGUACCUAAUGUGUGUCUGGCAGUGUUCCAGGCCUCACCUGCAUCAUUUCUAAUCCUCUCAACCAGAGGAUCAGAGAGGUGGCGUUUUUACCCCUAGUACACAGAGGAGGCGCUUGGGGUUCAGAGGCACGUGUGGAACUAGACCGACGCCACUCACCCCAGCAGGUGGCCAAGCGGGAUGGGAGCGCGGGUCUCCCCAUCCCCAGCGGUGACGGGCGGCGGCUCUUUCCUGAAGAAUGGGGCGGCGUCCGCAACGGGAACCGCUGGAGGCGCUCCCCGGGACCCUGGCCCGCCCUCGCCCCCGCGCAUGCCUGGCCGCUGAGGCGUGAGAGCCGCCGCCCGGGGCCUCCCCCCGCGCGCCUUGCACAACCGGCCCAGGUAAGUGCUGCGUCUCUGGGCAAUUAUCGCCCUCCCGCCGCCGGGGCUGGCCGCGCACAGGGCCCACGGCCAAGGCACUCGCAGCCACCCAAGGAGAGCUGCACGGUCUACGACGGCCGCCAGCGCGCGCGAUUUCACAAGGCCCGGGAGCGGGGACGGGGCGGGGCGGCGGGGGCGGUGACGUCACGCGCAGCCACGCCCCGCGGUUGCCCCGCCCCCGCGCUGGGCCGGGCCUGGGGAGGAAGCGAUGCGAGGCCACCUGUCCACCUGCGCCGCUUCGUCCUUCCUCCUCCUCCUCCCUGUCAGCUGUUUUUCUUUCUUCCCAUCUCCCAUCUCUUCCUUUUUAUCCCUCUCAUUCCUCCCUCUUUCCGUCCGUUUCCUUCUCCCUUCCCCAUCUCCUUCCUUUUAAUUUUCCUUUUCUCCUCCCUCCCGCCUUCCUUCUCUCUGCUUCCUUUCUCUUCCUCCCUCCCUCCUUCUCUUCCGCCUGCUUCCUUUCUUUCUCCUCUCUCUCCUUUCUUCCUUUCCUCCUCUCCUUUUUCUUUUUCUUUUAUUUUCUUUCUUU